ACUUUGCUCUGCUAUCCAGAAGGCUUACAAAUCCAGAGACAGCGAAGGGCUGCAGCUGCAAUGAGAAACACUCCUCUUCAUUAUUGGACCAAACCAGGACCUUUUUGAAUCAGAAAGCUAAAAACCAAGAUCCUAAUCCAGACAGGUUGAAAGCAAAGAAGAGGGGCUUGAUAUGUCAACUGAGAGCCAUAGUCACUGGACUCCUGCAAUGGCUCAUUUUUUUUCUGGCUAACUUGGUGGGCCUCUGAUUCACUCUUUCUCUAAAGAGGACUAGAAAUGUUCUGUUCAUUGAUGUUGUUGUGUGCACUCCCCAAACAUAUUUUGGUUUCAAUGAAUUUCUAGUAUUUUCCAAAUAGCUCCAGUUGCUUUGGUUUUUUUUAUGUAGAAAAACUGUGUCCUUCUUGGUGAAGGGUACAGUAGGUUGUAUAGUAAUGGAAGAAAUAUGAAUCACUUUCCAUUUGCCUCUCUGCAGCACUCCAUUCUCCCAUGUGACACUGUGAAUAAGGCAAAAAAAUUAAGUCUAUUUAAGCUCCAUUCAAAGCCUGACUCCUUCAUAUAAUAUAGCUCAUUUAAAUUCUGUC